rnacentral:rRNA from 1 species
AUGAACGCUAGCUACAGGCUUAACACAUGCAAGUCGAGGGGCAGCAUUUUAGUUUGCUUGCAAACUGAAGAUGGCGACCGGCGCACGGGUGAGUAACACGUAUCCAACCUACCGAUAACUCCGGAAUAGCCUUUCGAAAGAAAGAUUAAUACCGGAUAGCAUACGAAUAUCGCAUGAUAUUUUUAUUAAAGAAUUUCGGUUAUCGAUGGGGAUGCGUUCCAUUAGUUUGUUGGCGGGGUAACGGCCCACCAAGACUACGAUGGAUAGGGGUUCUGAGAGGAAGGUCCCCCACAUUGGAACUGAGACACGGUCCAAACUCCUACGGGAGGCAGCAGUGAGGAAUAUUGGUCAAUGGGCGAGAGCCUGAACCAGCCAAGUAGCGUGAAGGAUGAAGGCUCUAUGGGUCGUAAACUUCUUUUAUAUGGGAAUAAAGUUUUCCACGUGUGGAAUUUUGUAUGUACCAUAUGAAUAAGGAUCGGCUAACUCCGUGCCAGCAGCCGCGGUAAUACGGAGGAUCCGAGCGUUAUCCGGAUUUAUUGGGUUUAAAGGGAGCGUAGGUGGAUUGUUAAGUCAGUUGUGAAAGUUUGCGGCUCAACCGUAAAAUUGCAGUUGAAACUGGCAGUCUUGAGUACAGUAGAGGUGGGCGGAAUUCGUGGUGUAGCGGUGAAAUGCUUAGAUAUCACGAAGAACUCCGAUUGCGAAGGCAGCUCACUAGACUGUCACUGACACUGAUGCUCGAAAGUGUGGGUAUCAAACAGGAUUAGAUACCCUGGUAGUCCACACAGUAAACGAUGAAUACUCGCUGUUUGCGAUAUACAGUAAGCGGCCAAGCGAAAGCAUUAAGUAUUCCACCUGGGGAGUACGCCGGCAACGGUGAAACUCAAAGGAAUUGACGGGGGCCCGCACAAGCGGAGGAACAUGUGGUUUAAUUCGAUGGUACGCGAGGAACCUUACCCGGGCUUAAAUUGCAACAGAAUAUAUUGGAAACAGUAUAGCCGUAAGGCUGUUGUGAAGGUGCUGCAUGGUUGUCGUCAGCUCGUGCCGUGAGGUGUCGGCUUAAGUGCCAUAACGAGCGCAACCCUUAUCUUUAGUUACUAACAGGUCAUGCUGAGGACUCUAGAGAGACUGCCGUCGUAAGAUGUGAGGAAGGUGGGGAUGACGUCAAAUCAGCACGGCCCUUACGUCCGGGGCUACACACGUGUUACAAUGGGGGGUACAGAAGGCGGCUACCUGGUGACAGGAUGCUAAUCCCAAAAGCCUCUCUCAGUUCGGAUCGAAGUCUGCAACCCGACUUCGUGAAGCUGGAUUCGCUAGUAAUCGCGCAUCAGCCAUGGCGCGGUGAAUACGUUCCCGGGCCUUGUACACACCGCCCGUCAAGCCAUGAAAGCCGGGGGUACCUGAAGUACGUAACCGCAAGGAGCGUCCUAGGGUAAAACUGGUAAUUGGGGCU